GAUGAACGCUAGCGGCAGGCUUAAUACAUGCAAGUCGAGGGGCAGCAUGAGUGUAGCAAUACAUUUGAUGGCGACCGGCAAACGGGUGCGGAACACGUACUGAACCUUCCUUUAAGUGGGGAAUAGCCCAGGGAAACUUGGGUUAAUACCCCGUAACAUAAUGAAGUGGCAUCACUUUAUUAUUAUAGCUCCGGCGCUUAAAGAUGGCAGUGCGGCUGAUUAGGUAGUUGGCGGGGUAACGGCCCACCAAGCCUGCGAUCAGUAACUGGUGUGAGCGCACGCACAGUCAAACGGGAACGGAGCAACGGGCCCGACUCCUACGGGAGGCAGCAGUAAGGAAUAUUGGGCAAUGGACGAAAGUCUGACCCAGCCAUGCCGCGUGGAGGAUGAAGGUCCUCUGGAUUGUAAACUUCUUUUAUAUGGGACGAAAAAGGGUCUUUCUAGAUCAACUGACGGUACCAUAUGAAUAAGCACCGGCUAACUCCGUGCCAGCAGCCGCCGUAAUAC
rnacentral:rRNA from 1 species